AUGAAGGUCAAUCCCUUUGUGACUUCUGACCAAAGCAAGAACUGCAAAAGAUGUUUCAAUGCCCCUUCCCACAUUCUCAGGAAGAGUAUGUCUUCCCCCCGUUUCCAAAGUGCUGAGACAGAAGUUGAAGGUUAGAUCUAUGUCCAUCCAAAAGAAUGAUGGAGUUCAUGUUGUGUGAGGACACUAACAGGUCAGCAAAGCAGUCUAGAUUUACAGGAAGAAGUAUGUCAUCUUCACUGAAUGAAUGCAGCAGGAAAAGGUAAUGGCACAACUGCUCAUAUGGGCAUUCACCCCAGCAAGGUGGUUAUCGCUAGGCUAAAACUGGGCCAAGACGGCAAAAGGAUCCUUGAAUGAAAAGCCAAAUUCACCAAGUAAGAAAGAAAAAGGGCAAAUAAAAAAAAGUAAAUAAAUAAAUAAAUAAGAAAAAAAGAAACUGAGAAGAUGCUGGAAUAA
rnacentral:lncRNA from 1 species